rnacentral:rRNA from 1 species
GUGGGGAAUUUUGGACAAUGGGCGCAAGCCUGAUCCAGCAAUGCCGCGUGCAGGAAGAAGGCCUUCGGGUUGUAAACUGCUUUUGUACGGAACGAAACGGUCCGGGUUAAUACCCUGGGCUAAUGACGGUACCGUAAAAAUAAGCACCGGCUAACUACGUGCCAGCAGCCGCGGUAAUACGUAGGGUGCAAGCGUUAAUCGGAAUUACUGGGCGUAAAGCGUGCGCAGGCGGUGUUGUAAGACAGGCGUGAAAUCCCCGGGCUCAACCUGGGAAUUGCGCUUGUGACUGCAAGGCUGGAGUGCGGCAGAGGGGGAUGGAAUUCCGCGUGUAGCAGUGAAAUGCGUAGAUAUGCGGAGGAACACCGAUGGCGAAGGCAAUCCCCUGGGCCUGCACUGACGCUCAUGCACGAAAGCGUGGGGAGCAAACAGGAUUAGAAACCCGGGUAGUCC